rnacentral:rRNA from 1 species
UACGUAGGGACCGAGCGUUGUCCGGAAUCAUUGGGCGUAAAGAGCGUGUAGGCGGCUGUUUAAGUCCUGCGUGAAAUCCUGCGGCUCAACCGCAGACGGUCGUGGGAAACUGGAUGGCUAGAGUGCGGGAGAGGAGAGUGGAGUUCCCGGUGUAGCGGUGAAAUGCGCAGAUAUCGGGAAGAACACCCGUGGCGAAGGCGGCUCUCUGGAACGCAACUGACGCUGAGACGCGAAAGCGUGGGGAGCAAACAGG